rnacentral:rRNA from 1 species
GUGAUCCAGCCAUGCCGCGUGAAGGAAGACGGCCCUGUGGGUUGUAAACUGCUUUUGUAUGGAAGCAAUAAGAGCUACGCGUAGAUUGAUGAGAGUACCUUACGAAUAAGCACCGGCUAACUCCGUGCCAGCAGCCGCGGUAAUACGGAGGAUGCAAGCGUUAUCCGGAUUUAUUGGGUUUAAAGGGUGCGUAGGCGGUUUGAUAAGUCAGCGGUGAAAUAUUUCNNCUUAACUGUAAAGGUGCCUUUGAUACUGUCUAGCUUGAAUUUAGUUGCUGUAGGUGGAAUGUGUGGUGUAGCGGUGAAAUGCANAGAUAUCAANGGGAACACCGACUGCGAAGGCAGCUUUCUNAACUACAACUGACGCUCAUGCAAAANNGCGAGGGGAUGNAACACGAUUAAAUACACUGGGUGUCCACCNUGUAAA